rnacentral:lncRNA from 1 species
GAUGGAUGGAUGGAUGGAUGGAUGGAUAGGUGGUGGGAGUAGAUUAUGAGAAGGAUUCCACAGGUUGUUCUGGUAGAUAAGAUGUAUCAGUCACUGUCUGACAGUGUAUAGGAUGUUUGCUGUAGUGUUGUUAGUGGAGGUUAGGACUAGUAACAGGGAUGUGGAGGUUAGGACUAGUAACAGGGAUGUGGAGGUUAGGACUAGUAACAGGGAUGUUGUGGAGGUUAGGACUAGUAACAGGGAUGUUGUGGAGGUUAGGACUAGUAACAGGGAUGUUGUGGAGGUUAGGACUAGUAACAGGGAUGUUGUGGAGGUUAGGACUAGUAACAGGGAUGUUGUAGUGUUUGUGGAGGUUAGGACUAGUAACAGGGUUAAUGAGCCAUGGUGGUGUUGAUGUUGUCUCUAUGGAAGUGCUGCCCUGGAAGUGCAAGGUAGUCAUCCAGUGUUGUAGACCCAGCCGUGCAUUUCUCUCUCUGUCUGUGUCUCUCUCUCGUUCUUUGUCGCUCUCUCUCGCUCGCUCAAUCACUACUCCUCCUCUCUCUCUCCCCUUCAUCUCUCUCUUCAUCUGUCUCUCGGUCUUUCCCUCCAUCUCUCUCUCUGUGUUAGUGAUUACAUCACUCACUCACUCUCUCUCUCUCUCUCUCUCUCUCUGUCUCUCUCUCUCUCUCUCACCCUCUCUGUCUCUCUCUCUCUUGCAUAACCGCCAGCUUUGUUUGCUCCAGCUGAGGACUAAUCUUUCCCGCGAGACAGACUGAAGGAACAAGGGAGAGGAGGAGAGCAGGACAAGCCAACCUUUAUAACCUGACUGGACGCUCUGCCUCGUUAAUUCAAUCAGUCCACCAAUUAAUGGGCUUUAGAGCAGAGCCCUGUUUACAACCACCGUGACCUGUGUGUUUAUGGAGCGGUGUUUUUAAUCUGUGUGUGUGUGUGUGUGUGUGUGUGUGUGUGUGUGUGUGUGGAGAGCAGGCGCAUGGUACUCCCCAUGGUAGCCCAGUCGUACUGAAGGAUAAACAGUGAUUAUCUGGGCUGCCUGGAGAGAGACACAUGCUUAUGUACCACUCUCAGACAGACCACACAUACAUGUGAGGGACACGGUAGCCAAGACAACGCUCUAGCUGCAGUCAGAGGAGAAUAACACAUAAACAAAGACACGCAGAAUCACGUUCAGUCAAGUGUGACUUGUCCUGCCUUUCAUACACGCGUCCACACAGAUACACACACACACAAUGCCGCUGGCGGCGUCUGUGAGGUGAGUGCGAGGCGAAUGUUACGUAAGAAAGAUCAAAGCUACUUAAUCAGCUUUGAGAGAGAUGGGGGAGGAAUGGACAGAGGAGGGAUAGCGGGAAAAUAAAGAAUGGGGAGAGAGAGGGAUAGCAGAGAACAGAGGGUAGAGAAAGUGGUGACAGGCGGUGACACUGCGCGUGUCCUCGUUCCCUGUUUACGAUGGGAUAAUCUCACACACACACACACACAAACACACAAGCUGUGCUCUGUCCUCCGUGUCCCCCUCACAGCCCACUGUGACAUGCUGUUGCCAAUGCCACGAUAGCGUGUGUGUGUGUGGUGUGUGUGUGUGUGUGUGUGUGUGUGUGGUGUCUGUCUCUUCUUUUCCUAUAUGCCUAUUCCAUAUCUCUUUCUCUCCCCCUCCCUCUCUUUGUAAACCCUUUCUUUGCUUACCCUUUACCUCCUCCCUCUCUUCUCUCUCGCCCACUACGUCUCUCUUACAGGAAUUGUUAGCAGAUGUGGACAGAGCUUUUUCCUUCAUCUAAAAUUAGCC